UUGGAGGGCAAGUCUGGUGCCAGCAGCCGCGGUAAUUCCAGCUCCAAUAGCGUAUAUUAAAGUUGUUGCAGUUAAAAAGCUCGUAGUUGAAUUUCGGGGUCAGUAGGUGGGUCAUGCCACUGGUAUGUACUGGUCUCACUGAUUCCUCCUUCCUGAUGAGCCGUAAUGCCAUUAAUUUGGUGUUGCGAGGAAUCUGGACUGUUACUUUGAAAAAAUUAGAGUGUUUAAAGCAAGCUAACGCUUGAGUACAUUAGCAUGGAAUAAUGAAAUAGGACGUUCGAUCCUAUUUUGUUGGUUUCUAGGAUUGACGUAAUGAUUAAUAGGGAUAGUUGGGGGCAUUAGUAUUCAAUUGUCAGAGGUGAAAUUCUUGGAUUUAUUGAAGACUAACUACUGCGAAAGCAUUUGCCAAGGAUGUUUUCAUUAAUCAAGAACGAAAGUUAGGGGAUCGAAGACGAUCAGAUACCGUCGUAGUCUUAACCAUAAACUAUGCCGACUAGGGAUCGGAUGAUGUUAAUUUUUUAAUGACUCAUUCGGCGCCUUACGGGAAACCAAAGUGUUUGGGUUC
rnacentral:rRNA from 1 species